rnacentral:rRNA from 1 species
AUGGAAGCGGGGCACAAUGAAGAGGCUGCCGCCCUCAAUGCGGGUCACCUGGUAGGCCGAGUCACAGGAGAAGCCCGGGGAGCACAUGGAGUGGGCGUCGAUCCUGACAAGGUCGGCACCGAGCCCAACCUCCUUGACCAGAGGCAGGUUCGCGGUGUUGAGCACCACCACGCGGCCACCGUUGGGGAUGUCCACGUCCAGCUUGGCCUCAAGGCAGUUAAGAGCCAUGUCCUUGCGGUCAGCAUCGACCGGCACCGGGAGCUUCUGUCCAGCAGUGAGCUUCACAAUGCCAGACGCAGGCUGGCUGGAGACGAGCUUGGCGGCAUCGUCCUCCUUGAGGUCCCACGCGCGGCCGACGAACUCUGUGGAAAAGCCGGUGAAGAUGCCGCUGGCACCGGUGAGCUGGAAGUUGGUAAACUGGCCGGGCCUGUGGCCCUUGGAGGUGUCACCGAGGAAGAGGACGACGAGCUCCGUGGCAGACUCAGGGGUGUUGUGCCACCAGGUGACCACGCCGAAGGGGAGCGCCAGAGCAUCGCCUUCCUUCACGGCGACCACCUUCUCCUUGGUGGCCUCAGGCAGGACGAUGCCAACGGUUCCUUUGCCUAUCCAUCAUGGAACAAAACAAGCAAAGCAUUAACAGUGCUGCCAUCAUGA